rnacentral:tRNA from 1 species
GGAGAGAUGGCUCAGGGGCUAAGAGCACUGACUCCUCAUCCAGGGGUCCUGAGUUCAAAUCCCAGCAACCACA